rnacentral:lncRNA from 1 species
AAUUAUGCUACAACCAUAACCAUCUAUAAAUUCAAAUUUAAUAUUUGAUUUGAUAUAUUUGAAUCCAACUGUUACAGUUGGAACUAUAUGAAGAGGCCCAACCACAAUACUUAGAAGUACGUCCCAAUUGGCUGCUGCAACAACUACAACAGUUGCAGAAUGUAACUUUUAGCAAAAGAUAAGUUUAUUUUUCUAACCACUUUUUAAACAGAAAAAUAUUUUUCUUUUCUACAUUAGAGAUAAUUUCAUCGCCACAUAUAAAAAAUAAUAAAAGUUUAAAAGACCGCUUCUCAACUGCAUGCAACCAAGUAAUUUAUUUCUAGCUGCAGUAUUGUUUACUACUCUACAUCAAAUCAAAUAAGAUGCGUAUAGUUAUAAAUAUUGCAUUUCAUCUGUAUAUAUGCAACUCCAAUUAUACUACAUUUCCAAUAUUACUUAAGAAAAAAAACAACUAAGUUACAUAUUUAUACUA